rnacentral:rRNA from 1 species
UACGGAGGGGGCUAGCGUUGUUCGGAAUUACUGGGCGUAAAGCGCACGUAGGCGGCUUCGCAAGUCAGAGGUGAAAUCCCGGGGCUCAACCCCGGAACUGCCUUUGAUACUGCGUCGCUCGAAUCCGGGAGAGGCGGGUGGAAUUCCCAGUGUAGAGGUGAAAUUCGUAGAUAUUGGGAAGAACACCGGUGGCGAAGGCGGCCCCCUGGUCCGGCACUGACGCUGAGGUGCGAAAGCGUGGGGAGCAAACAGG